AUCGUCCACAUCGCUGGCUGUGUUUUGCUAUCACCAGAAACUUCGGGAAGAUUGCCCAUUAUUUUGUUUUUCUAAGGACCCAGAAAACGGAGGCAGUGGGAGAACCUAUUCAAAUACAGAGAGCCGUGAAACCCUGUCUGCAGAUGAAGAGAAACCCUGUCUGCAGCUGAAGAGGUCCCAAUGAAUGUUCCAAGAGAGUAAGGGUGUUGCUGUGGUAGCUGUUGAGAGAGAGAGAGAGAGAGGGAGGAUGUAUGGACUGUGCAUUAUGCUAUGGCGACUGUGCAGUAGCUCAGGGUGUACAGACAGGCCCUCUGCGUGUGGUGUUCUGCAGCAUCAGCAUUCGGACAGGGGCCAGACGCUCGAUUUAUGGUGCCAGGGAGAGGAAAUGACCUGCUUCUGUCAUUGGGAGUAUGCCCCAUCACGAGAGGCCCUAAACUAUAUUGGCACAGCUCUGACAGACAUGUUUGUCAUCUAGUCAUCUUUGAAGAUACCAAGCAAGCAGUAUUAUUGAUUUGACAAGCUCCAGCUAUCUCUCUACGUGCACACUGUUCCUGUCUCUCCAACCCACACCACCCUGCCUGAGAGACAGCCCUGUGGUUCCCACAUUGGCAUGAUUAAUACCAUGAUCGCUAUGAUUUACACUACAUUCACACGGAAAUACAGUAGCAUAUCCUAUUCAUUCAGUUUAAAAGGAAUCAGAAUGACUGUACAUUCAUAAGCAAACUCUUCCUCAUUGACUAGUUCUCAUUAUUUAUUUCAACAGUCAUUUCUGUGUUUUGUAUGCCACCUCACCUGCUAUAUAUUUACCUAUACUGUA